UGGACAGAUUACUGUAUUCGACUGUAUUCACGACGUGAAACAGGGGAUUACACUGUUUUAAAAUGGAAAGUGUAUCAUUAACAUAAUAGACUACU
rnacentral:pre_miRNA from 1 species